rnacentral:rRNA from 1 species
UACAGAGGGUGCAAGCGUUGUUCGGAAUUACUGGGCGUAAAGCGUGCGCAGGCGGCUUUGCAAGACAGAUGUGAAAUCCCCGGGCUCAACCUGGGAACUGCAUUUGUGACUGCAAGGCUAGAGUACGGUAGAGGGGGAUGGAAUUCCGCGUGUAGCAGUGAAAUGCGUAGAUAUGCGGAGGAACACCGAUGGCGAAGGCAAUCCCCUGGACCUGUACUGACGCUCAUGCACGAAAGCGUGGGGAGCAAACAGG